CCUACGGGUGGCAGCAGUGAGGAAUAUUGGUCAAUGGACGAGAGUCUGAACCAGCCAAGUAGCGUGAAGGAUGACUGCCCUAUGGGUUGUAAACUUCUUUUAUAUGGGAAUAAAACGUUCCACGUGUGGGAUUUUGUAUGUAACAUAUGAAAAAGGAACGGCUAACUCCGUGCCAGCAGCCGCGGUAAUACGGAGGAUCCGAGGUUUAUCCGGAUUUAUUGGGUUUAAAGGGAGCGUAGGUGGAUUGUUAAGGCAGUGGGGAAAGUUUGCGGCGUAACCGUAAAAUUGCAGUUGAAACUGGCAGUCUUGAGUACAGUAGAGGUGGGCGGAAUUCGUGGUGUAGCGGUGAAAUGCUUAGAUAUCACGAAGAACUCCGAUUGCGAAGGCAGCUCACUGGACUGCAACUGACACUGAGGCUCGAAAGUGUGGGUAUCAAACAGGAUUAGAUACCCGAGUAGUC
rnacentral:rRNA from 1 species